ensembl:lncRNA
CCUGCCUACCUAACAGGAAACCUGUGUCUUUUUGUAGCAACGUCCAGAGUUGUUUAACAUUCUCACCUGAUUUCAUGCUGUCCACCUGAACCCCUUUAAGAUGUGAACAUCCUACCGAGUUACAACCAUGGCUGCCAGAAAGGUAAAGAUGUUGGAGGUAUUCAGAUUCUACAGCAAUUUCUCAAUAUGUGUAGAUAGUCAGAGGAGAGGGCUGUCAUGACUCUACCUCUUACUCCCCACCAGGGAUAAACCUUGGCUGUAUGCAUGGGACAUCAGCCCAGUCCAUUUGGUGUUACCUCCAGGCUGGCUCCUGAGAAGUGGCUAGCCAAGCCACACAGCAUCACCUGCACCCAUGAACUACGGCAUGCAUGUCUUCCUGUGCUAGGGAAGUGGUGGUGCAAGUAAAAAUGUGAAGAAGGUGAAGUGAUGAGAUUUGAUGUUACUGGAGUUUACAGUGCGGAGAAAGAAAGACUGGGUGAAAUAUGUCUCAAAUCAAUACAAAAUUAUUCUUCAUUAGUCCUGUCAAUCAGGAAACAAUUUAUAUCUGUUAAGGUCUUGUCCCUGGACUCAUGGCAUGGAAUAGAAAUCUCUGCAUUUUUAGUCAUAUUUCUAGUGAUAUGAACAAAACCACACAGGAUUUCUGAAUGAAACUGCACAGCUUGCCUACAGACGAUCAGUUUUGAUGUUCCCUGAAUGAUUAAUGGCAAAUUUGGAUUCUGGACUUGCACAGGAAGAGGCAUAGAAAUCAAGAGCAUAUUUCUGAUUUGGGUGUGUUACAUUCUGGUCUUCAUUAACUAUAAACCAAAGAUAUUAAGCUGUUGUCUCUUAAAUGUCCUCACAAGGCUGCUCGUAGAAGCUUUUGAACAAGCCACAAGACUAAUCUACAAUGCAUUAACUCCCUGCUUGAAGUUUUGGCUCUGCUGAAAUCAGUGGUGAAACUCCUAUGGACUUCAUUCAGGUCAGAAUAUUAUUGAAAUCAUCUGCAUCAAAGCAUUGCUCAGCACACCUGUGGUGGAAGUGAAGCUCAAAGAUGCCUUAAGUUACUGCUGGAAAGGCCAGAUACCACCUGGAGCUUCAAAGUGUCUGAGGUAUCUGCUCUUGUUAAAAGUCAAAAUAACAACCAAGCAGAGCUGGAAUGGCCUUGUGCAAGUCUAAAGUUUUGAGGUGGUGGAGUUUGUUUGUUUUUUGGUGGUGGGGGGGGAAGGUUGGUGGUUUGUUUAGUGGGUUUUUUAUUGUUGUUGUUCCAGAUUCUCUAUGUAAUGUUUAAUUUCUGUAAAUGUUUCUUUUGCAAUUCUGGGCUUUACAAAAACAUUGGAUGGUUUUUCGAAAGUCAGAUUUGUAAGGUUAGGAGGCCAUCAGUGAUUUCCUCUUAGUCUUUUGCUCUUAUGGUUUUGAUAAUUGCUUUAACAUGUUAGCGUAUUUUUUUACAGUACCCAAUAUCAGGAGAUAGUUGGAUUCAAACAUAUAAACAGAUAACUGUCUCUGUGGCUAGGUGCAAACCAUCUUUGUUCACAGCAGUUGUUGUUUUGGAUUUGUGGUUAAUUCAACAUGAAUUUACAAGUGAUGGUAACCCACAUCUUUUGACCAGCAUACCAUAAAACUCCUAAACUGUUUAGCUGUAUGUAAAAAACCAUUCUUGAAUGGGAGGUAGAGCAAAUGGGUGAACCCCUGCAUUUUGCCUGCCUUCAUCAGCUCUUAAGCGCUGGCUGAAGAUGCUAGAGCAUGGUUGUAACUUGCAUGGUG